GCUCUGUCACCAGUGCCGCCUCGCUGCAGAUUGCUGUGUAAAGUGCCUUAUGGAUUUUGUGUUCCCUUGAGUUUAUUCAGGUACCCUGGCACCUGUCUGGAUUUCAGGUGAGGCAAAGACGGAUCCCAGAAUGUUACAGGAAGGAGGCCAACCUCUCACUCUCCACAGGAAGAGUUUCAAUUCCAAG
rnacentral:lncRNA from 1 species